rnacentral:rRNA from 1 species
CCCGAAAAAUCGAAUGAGGAGACUCAUCGUCAGCGAAAUCGACUUGCGUGUGGUUCGCGAUGUUUUGAGACGGUACUUUUUGUAUUUGUUGAUUUCACGCGUCCGCUGCGUCAUGUUCGUUUGCGUCGGCGUGCACUUCUCCUCUAGUAGAACGUCGCGACCCGCUGGGUGUCGGUUUAAGGACCGAUGUCGUAGACUGUUGUUGAGCUUCGGCGUAAUGCAACAGACGCUCGGAUUCCCGAUCGACUGCCCGGCGGUAUAAGCAAAAGGUAUCGAGUCGCACAUUUAUGUGCGUUCAGGCUCGUCGCAAGCUCGAUCAUCGUUCGGAGUGCGGACCAAGUGCCGUACCCGGGACUGAUUGGCUGUUGGUCGACGGUGUUCUCGAACAGGCUCAACUUCGAACAAACAUUACGUAUAACGAAAUACCUAUCGGCGACGCUACUGAUUUGGGUACUUUCAGGACCCGUCUUGAAACACGGACCAAGGAGUCUAACAUGUGCGCGAGUCAUUGGGAUUUGUUAAACCUAAAGGCGCAUUUAAUGAGAAAUUGUCCGAUUUCGGUUGGUCAAAGGGAGGAUGGGUCGCGUUGAGAUGCGGCCCCGCACUCCCGGGGCGUCUCACAUUCUUCUUCAAGAAUCAAGAGGCGCACCAAGAGCGUACACGUUGGGACCCGAAAGAUGGUGAACUAUGCCUGGUCAGGACGAAGUCAGGGGAAACCCUGAUGGAGGUCCGUAGCGAUUCUGACGUGCAAAUCGAUCGUCGGAACUGGGUAUAG